UGGGGAAUUUUCCGCAAUGGGGGCAACCCUGACGGAGCAACGCCGCGUGGGGGAGGAAUGUCUGUGGGUUGUAAACCUCUUUUCUCAGGGAAGAAGAAAGUGACGGUACCUGAGGAAUCAGCCUCGGCUAACUCCGUGCCAGCAGCCGCGGUAAUACGGAGGAGGCAAGCGUUAUCCGGAAUUAUUGGGCGUAAAGCGUCCGCAGGUGGUUUUUCAAGUCCGCUGUCAAAGACCGGAGCUUAACUCCGGAGAGGCAGUAGAAACUGAGGAACUAGAGACCGGUAGGGGUAGAGGGAAUUCCCAGUGUAGCGGUGAAAUGCGUAGAGAUUGGGAAGAACACCAGUGGCGAAAGCGCUCUACUGGGCCGGUACUGACACUCACAGGACGAAAGCUAGGGGAGCGAAAGGGAUUAGAUACCCCUGUAGUCC
rnacentral:rRNA from 1 species